CAACCGCGCGAAAAUCACGACGGCAACACCAAGCGUUUUGAUAAGAUGAAGAGAUCUGCCCUAAAUGAUGGAAAUGGUAAACAGAAGGAGAUGAGACUAGAACUUUCGGACCGUAGAAUGACCCGUUCCGCAUCCAAGCAGCAGCAGCUGGAGGAGGAAGAAAAUAGGCGCAUCCAGGAGUUCCCUGGGUUUGAUGCUGGGGACAUU